rnacentral:tRNA from 1 species
GAGGGUAUAGCUUAAGUGGUAGAGCACAUGCUUUGUAAGCAUGAGGUCCUGGAUUCAAUCCCCAGAACCUUUU